GCGGGGGAUGGCGGCCUCUUCUGCGAGCUCGAGGGAAACCAGGGUUACUGAGGAGAAAGCCUUCCUGUGGUGCUCAGCUGACCGUGGACCUUCUCUUCACUGUGGGAUGAGGUAGUAGGUUGUAUAGUUU